GUCUUGGUGGGAUGGAGGAAGAUGUGCUGCAGCAGCUCUGCAGGAAGGCUGCUCAGAGUGCCUGUGGGUGGCUCUGACAGAGGGCUGAGCAUCUCAGGAGGGAUUUACAUACUGUUAAAGCUUCUCAAGCCUUGGAAAUGAGAAACUGUGGAUGGCAGCAGUGGGUUCUUCUGGAAGUCCUGCAGGGUUGGCUGUGUGGUCCUCGGCUGGCAGAGCAGCUCUGGCUGUCUGCUGACGCCUCAAAAUACAGAGAAAACUUUUGCUAUCAGCUCCUGGAGACAGACUUCUGUGGCAGCACGCCAAGCACAUGUUUCUGGUGAUGCAAUGGGCAGUGAUAGCACUGCUGAGCAGCGGUUGAAGUGAUGAUAGAAGAGACAGGCAAUUUUUACAGCACCUGACAUACUCCAGCACCGUUCAGGUGUGGCUGCAGAAAUCCCCAUUGCUGUUCCUUGCACUGACAGUAAUGGAGUCCUAACACCAUCGGUCUUUUAGCAACAGAGCAAAAAAAUUGUACAUAUCCUUUUUCCCACAAGUUCUGGCUUAAGAGAAGGAUGUGAAGAUGCAGUGAAGUUAGGAGCCAGCUACCCAUCUUUGGGAAAUGACAUCUGUAUCCACUGCAAAAUUCUUCUUGUUCUGGAAGCAGCCCAGUCACUGCCUUGGUUUCCGUUUACCAGCACGUGCUGCAAGCCAAAGCAGGUCUGGAGAUCUGCAGUUCAAUGUGAGACACGGAAAAGAGCUGUGCUUUUGCUAUUCCAGCCACAGUGAAUAACCAACAGAGCUCCCUGAUGAAGUGUUGGAACUGUUGAGUACAGCAAACAGAAACUCACCCACCUACACAGGACAGUGCAGCUCCUGAGGUCCCAUAGGGGCCACAAUGUGGCUGGUUGUGUUCAGAUGAUACCAUCCAUUUCUUAUAGUCUAGAGAAGUUCUGGGCUCUUUAGUAGAUCAGGGACAUACUUCAUCGUCCAUUACAGCAGUAAGCCAGCCAGCAGACACUCUGCCUUGAUGCUGUGAUGUUUAAGGGGGAGGAAUAUGCCUGCCAAGUGCUAAGUUGUCUUCCUGUUUUAAAUAAUAAGUACAAUAAAUUAAACUCUUCU
rnacentral:lncRNA from 7 species